AGCUGUUCUGAUGGUGCAGUGAGCAGGAUUGGCCAAGGAUGGAGUGAGAUCACGCUCAUGUUGCAAGUAACAGCUGAGCGAUUGGCUGCAGGAAAUCCCUGAGUCAUCUGGAAACUAGAGCUGCAUUUCAGCAAGAUGCUGGAGAGAGAGAAUGGAGAGAGAGAGCAGAACGAGGGAGCGGAGAGAGGGAGAAGAGAGGGAGAGUAGAGGAAUGGAGCGGAGAGAGGGUACGGAGAGAGUGAGUAGAGAAAGGAAGCGGAGGGGGAGAAGGGAGGGAGAGAGGAGAGAGGGAAAGGAGGAAAGGAGUGGAGGGAUGGAGCAGAGAGAGGAAGCAGGGAGAGGGAGCGGAGAGAGGGAGAAGAGAGGGGGAGCAGAGAGAAAAAGUGGAGGAAUGGAACGGAGGGAUGGAGUGGAGAGAGGGAGCGGGGAGAGAGGGAACGGAGAGGGGGAUGGAACGUAGGGAUGGAGCAGUGAGAGGGAGUGGCGAGAUUUAGUGGAGUCCUGAAGGAGAGAGGGAACAGAGAGGGAAUGGAGAGGUGAAGUGGAGAGAGGGAGUGGAGUGAGGAAGUGGGGAGAGGGAGUUGAGGUUGAGCAAAGAUGCAGCAGAGAGUGGGAGUGGAGUGAUGGAUUGGAGAGAGGGAGCAGUUGGGGUAAGGGCAGCCCAGGGACACAGCUAUGCAUGGGCAGUGGAGGACAUCAACAGCACUGAGAUACAGGCACAGAUACCCUGGUACUCUAUGCCUAUGAUGCUGGCUGCCUGUGUCUCUGUGUUUCUGUGUCUCUGUGUCUAUGUGUCCCUGUGUUAUAGACACAAAAUGCUGGAGAAACUCAACGGGUCAGGCAGUAUUUCUGGAAUAGGUGAUGUUUCGGGUCGAGAUCUUUCUGCACACCGAGAGUCAGGGUAGAGGUGCAGGUGAAUCUGCCCUUAUUUCAAGGUUCAUUUGCACCUCCUCCAACCUCAUCUUCUGUAUCCGUUGUUCUUGGUGUGGGCUCCUAUAUAUCGACUCUCAGCCUGAAGAAGGGUCUCGGCAGAAGCUGAGUUCUGCUACCGAUGAGACCGUGUCUCCACUGUACAACCAGCAGGGUGCACGCGUGACAGCAAAAUACCAUUGAAUCGUGUGAGAACGAGGGGAAGCGAGAGAUGGGAAGGAGGAAAGAUGGAAAGAAAGAUGAGAGAUUGGGAGAAAUGGACAGCGAGAGCUGGAGAGAAAGACUCAAUGAAGGAGAGGUGGUGAUACAGUGGCGCCGCGCCAGAGACCCACCCACUAUGGGUGCUGGCUGUACAGAGUCUGUACAUUCUCCCUGUGACUGCAUCGGUUUUCCAAAGACGCUCAGGUUUGUAGGUCGAUGGCAUCAAUAAACUGUCACUAGUGCAUAGGAUAGUGUUAGUGGAUGGGGUGACUGCUGGUCAUCGCGGACAUGAUGAGCCAAAGGGCCUGUUUCCACGCUGUAUCUCUAAAGUCUAAAGAUGGGGGUGGGGGGGGGGCUGCAGAAAGCCAGACAAAGAGCGCUGUAUCCGGGCCACCUGCAUUUCUUCCAAUCCACCCUUAACCUGUCCUGCGCCACCCUCGAGUAUACUCAGGUCAGAGUAUACAAGCGAAACAAAAUAUUGGUAGUGAACAGGUUAACAGCCGAUCUCACCCUGACAGAGGCAGUUUGUCCACACAAGUGGUUAUCGAUCAUGCGUUGCACCAGUCUGAGUAUUUACAUCGUUUCUCAUUGAUACAGCACUUGUUGCAAAUAUCAACCUCCUGAACUUCUGUCCCUUCCCUUGUUGUAUGUGUGAAUAUCCACAUUGAUAUCUUGAUUAUUAAUUUAUAAUUCUUGUUUUAAUCACGUCGGUGCUCUGUAUGUUACUUACAGUGUGUUCCUCCGCGUUAUGUGCAUCUUCUACGGAUAGUUUCUCACUGGGACAUGGCAUAUCUGCUGCUCUCCAGACUGGCUGUGCUUUUAUAAUGUCACAUGCUGAAGCGUUGUGGCCUUGGCUUCUACACACUGCCUCACAGCUCGCAACUUGUGCUCAGUAACUUGGCCUGGACAUGCUCAUCAGUUGAUCCACGUGAGAACCUGUUUGGCAACAAGUCAUCCAAAAUGUGCCAACUGCUACCACGCUGUGCUGGAUAGUUCAGAGUGUCGCUGUUGUCAUGCGUCAUCUCACCUCAGCAAUGCCCAGGAAUGGAGGAGACUGCAGGGAGAGGUGGACAGUUCCUGGUCCAUCACGGAUACUGAUGCCCAAUGAGCCGGGGCCCAUCGCGGCAACAUGCCUGGCUCACCGCCCGGCGCAGAACUGGGAACCAGCCCGGAGAGGGCCGCCCUGCGUCGAAAAGAACUGCAGGUGCUGGUUUAAAUCGAAGAUAGACACAAAAUGCUGGAGUAAUUCAGCGGGACAGGCAGCAUCUCUGGAGAGAAGGAACGGGUGACGUUUCGGGUCGAGACCCUUCUUCAGACAGAGGGUAGCCAUGUAAUGCAUUUCGUUGUCUCUGUACUGUACACUGACA